rnacentral:rRNA from 1 species
UACGUAGGGUGCAAGCGUUAAUCGGAAUUACUGGGCGUAAAGCGUGCGCAGGCGGUUUUGUAAGACUGUCGUGAAAUCCCCGGGCUCAACCUGGGAAUGGCGAUGGUGACUGCAAGGCUAGAGUUUGGCAGAGGGGGGUGGAAUUCCGCGUGUAGCAGUGAAAUGCGUAGAGAUGCGGAGGAACACCGAUGGCGAAGGCAGCCCCCUGGGCUAGCACUGACGCUGAGACGCGAAAGCGUGGGGAGCAAACAGG